rnacentral:rRNA from 1 species
AUGCCGUUCGCUGGCGUAUCCGUCGUUGCCGACGGCCGACUGGUGCACCCAUCGUCCCCGGAGUCGGCAAUGUUUUACCCUGGCUCCAGCGCAGCCAGCAGAGGCAGCUGGUAUCACCUGCUUGUGGUUGAAGGUUACUCCCGCAUCAAAGACCUUCCCAAUGGAAAGAGAAUCAAGACCGGCUCUUUCAAAGCUGGAGGCUAUCAAUGGGCUCUGAAGUUUUACCCCAAUGGUGACCUCCUGGAGGAUGCUGGUUACAUUUCUGUUUUUCUUUCCCUUGAUCAGGAUGUUGCACAACCUGUGAAGGCGCACCAUCACUUUAGUUUCAUUGGUGAGGUUGGCAAACAAGAACCUGCACGCGUCCGUGGAAUCAAAGCAUCUUCUUUCCAUAAAAAAGGCUAUGGUUUUGGUCUCCACCGUUUCAUGAAAAGAGAGGCCCUUGAGAAGUCAGAGCAUCUCAAGGACGAUUGUUUCACCAUCCGGUGUGACUUCAUCAUUGCCGAAGCUGCUGCUGCUCCCUUGAUCGAGGUGCCCCCACCUAAUUUAAGUGAGCAUCUGAACCAUCUCUUUGUUACGAAGGUGGGCGUCGACGUGACCUUCGAGGUCGGCCACGAGACAUUCGCAGCGCACCGUUGUGUGCUCGCGUCCCGUUCCGCCGUCUUCAUGGCAGAGCUCUUCGGACCCAUGAAGGAGGGGAUUGCUAUAGACGAUGCCAUACAGAUACAAGACAUGGAACCGAAUGUCUUCAAGGCCUUGCUUAAUUUCGUCUACACCGACUUGAUGCCAGAGAUGGAGGUGGAGGGACAGGCAGGGGAAGCCGUCUCUAAGGUUACAUGGCUGCGACACUUGCUUGCCGCCGCGGAUAGGUUUGAUCUCCAGCGGCUCAAGUCAAUGUGUGAAGAGAGGCUGUCGGAGCACAUAAAUUUGGGCUCGGUGACCGCCAUCCUUGGUCUGGCAGCGCAGCACCAUUGCCGUGGACUUAAGGAGGCCUGCCUGGAGUUCCUCAAAGUCCAAUCUGCUGCAAUCUUGGAAGGUGUCAUGGCGACCAGUGACUGGCAGCGCAUAUCUGCAACUGACCCGUCUGUUCUGAACGAGCUCAUCGCCAAGCUUGCCUCCAAAGCGUAG